UACGUAGGGGGCAAGCGUUGUCCGGAUUUAUUGGGCGUAAAGCGUGUGUAGGCUGCUACAUAAGUCGGAUGUGAAAGCCCCGGGCUCAACCCGGGAAGUGCACUCGAUACUGCGUAGCUUGAGUCUCGGAGAGGUUGGUGGAAUUCUCGGUGUAGAGGUGAAAUUCGUAGAUAUCGAGAGGAACACCGGUGGCGAAGGCGGCCAACUGGACGAAGACUGACGCUGAGACACGAAAGCGUGGGGAGCAAACAGG
rnacentral:rRNA from 1 species